GAGGUCUACUACACCUGUUGUAUUCAGCAUUUCACUGUGAGGUCUACUACACCUGUUGUAUUCAGCAUUUCACUGUGAGGUCUACUACACCUGUUGUAUUCAGCAUUUCACUGUCAGGUCUACUACACCUGUUGUAUUCAGCAUUUCACUGUAAGGUCUACUACACCUGUUGUAUUCAGCAUUUCACUGUCAGGUCUACUACACCUGUUGUAUUCAGCAUUUCACUGUGAGGUCUACUACACCUGUUGUAUUCAGCAUUUCACUGUGAGGUCUACUACACCUGUUGUAUUCAGCAUUUCACUGUAAGGUCUACUACACCUGUUGUAUUCAGCAUUUCACUGUGAGGUCUACUACACCUGUUGUAUUCAGCAUUUCACUGUAAGGUCUACUACACCUGUUGUAUUCAGCAUUUCACUGUCAGGUCUACUACACCUGUUGUAUUCAGCAUUUCACUGUGAGGUCUACUACACCUG
ensembl:lncRNA